UACGUAGGGUGCAAGCGUUGUCCGGAAUUAUUGGGCGUAAAGAGCUCGUAGGCGGUCUGUCACGUCGGCUGUGAAAACCUGGGGCUCAACCCCGGGCCUGCAGCCGAUACGGGCAGACUAGAAUUCGGUAGGGGGAGACUGGAAUUCCUGGUGUAGCGGUGAAAUGCGCAGAUAUCAGGAGGAACACCGGUGGCGAAGGCGGGUCUCUGGGCCGAUACUGACGCUGAGGAGCGAAAGCGUGGGGAGCGAACAGG
rnacentral:rRNA from 1 species